UCUGCGUCAGCCAUUCAACAAUCAUUGAAAUUGCAACAAUAAAACCAAACACCAAUCCAUCAAAAAAGAUCACACAAUUUUAUUUGCACUUGAGAGGGGAACGUGCGUGCAAUUGAAGAG